rnacentral:lncRNA from 1 species
AACAAAGGUCAAACAAGCAUAAAAUGUAAGAAAAUAAAAUAAAAUACAUUAAAAAUAUUUUUAAAAUGAAUUUUAAAAAGGAAAUAAAAGAGAAAAUCCAUAAAGCCUUUCAAAACACCAAAUAAAUGGCUAAGAAAAUUAUGGAAGGUUGAAAAUAAAAUAAGAGACAUAAGAUAAAUUUUUCAGAAAUUUUAAAUGCCUAAAAGUGGUUUUAAACCAAUUAAAACAAAAGAGAAAAGAGAAAAUAUAAGAAAAAUAGAAAAUCAAUAAAAUAAAAUAUGGAAAAAUAAAAAUCAAAUAAAGAAAAGAAAAAAAAAUUUAGAAAUUAUUUUGGGAUUUUUUGGAUGAAAAAUGAAUUUACUAUAAAUUUUAAAAGAAAAUGCAAUUUAAAAUGAAAAAGAAAUAAAAAUAAAAAUCAUAAAAAACACAGAGCAUUGGAUUUGGACUCAUUAAUUGAUGUGGCAAAUCCAACAACUAUCAAGCUAGGGUGCACGGUAGAAAUUAGCCAAAAUAAAACACUGAAUCAAAUUCAAAAUGGACGAAUCAGAAUAUUUCAAAUUGCCAACGUGUAUGGCCAAACUUAGAUGUCC